rnacentral:tRNA from 1 species
CAAGGAAUAGUUUAAUUAGAAUGUCAGCUUUGGGUGCUGAUGGUGGAAUUUGCUUUCUUCCUUGA